rnacentral:miRNA from 1 species
UGGUGCCUGGAUUGGAGGAUGAGA